rnacentral:rRNA from 1 species
UACGUAGGGUGCAAGCGUGUCCGGAAUUAUUGGGCGUAAAGAGCUCGUAGGUGGCCUGUCGCGUCGGCUGUGAAAACUCGGGGCUCAACUCCGAGCUUGCAGUCGAUACGGGCAGGCUAGAGUUCGGCAGGGGAGACUGGAAUUCCUGGUGGUAGCGGUGAAAUGCGCAGAUAUCAGGAGGAACACCGGUGGCGAAGGCGGGUCUCUGGGCCGAUAUUGACGCUGAGGAGCGAAAGCGUGGGGAGCGAACAGG